rnacentral:snRNA from 1 species
UUCACUUUGGUAGCACAUAUACAAAAACCAGAAGGACACAGAAAAGAUUGGCAUGGUCCCUGUGCAAGAAUGACCAAUCAAUUGGUGAAAUGUUCGGUACUUGG